rnacentral:lncRNA from 1 species
ACCAUACACUCUGCCAAUGACCGGUUUAUGUGGCGGCAUGCUAUUUCCCUUUCUCUCCCCGCCGCGAACCGCCGGUGGCAACCAGUUAAGGCCGUGUACAGCCGAUCGCAGUUACCUGCAGUUGAGGUUUCUCUGCUCGACAUAUGGAUUGGUGUAAUUGAGGAUUUUGAUUGUUACCAACUACCAAGUUAGAUCUUGGA